UGCCUUAGUAACUGCGAGUGAAGCGGCAAAAGCUCAAAUUUGAAAUCUGUCGCCUCCGGCGGCCGAGUUGUAAUUUGGAGGGAUAUCUUCGGGGACGGCGCCGCCCUAAGUUUCUUAGAACAGGACAUCAUAGAGGGUGAGAAUCCCGUGCCUGGGUGGCUGCCCCGUCUCCAUGUGAAGUGUCUCCGACGAGUCGAGUUGUUUGGGAAUGCAGCUCAAAAUGGGUGGUAAAUUUCAUCUAAAGCUAAAUAUUGGCGAGAGACCGAUAGCGCACAAGUAGAGUGAUCGAAAGAUGAAAAGCACUUUGAAAAGAGAGUUAAAAAGUACGUGAAAUUGUUGAAAGGGAAGCGCUUGCGACCAGACUUGAUCUUUGGUGAUCAGCCGGGCUUCUGUCCGGUGCCCUCGCCGCUGAUCAGGCCAGCAUCGGUUCCGGGGGCGGGAUAAAAGGCGGGGGAAUGUGGCUUCCUUCGGGGAGUGUUAUAGCCCCUGUCACAAUGCCGCCACCUGGGACCGAGGACCGCGCUUCGGCUAGGAUGCUGGCGUAAUGGUCUUAAGCGACCCGUCUUGAAACACGGACCAAGGAGUCUAACAUCUAUGCGAGUGUUCGGGUGGAAAACCCUUGCGCGUAAUGAAAGUGAACGUAGGUGUGAACCCGCGAGGGUGCAACAUCGACCGGUCCCGAUGUCUUCGGAAGGAUCUGAGUAAGAGCAUAGCUGUUGGGACCCGAAAGAUGGUGAACUAUGCCUGAAUAGGGUGAAGCCAGAGGAAACUCUGGUGGAGGCUCGCAGCGGUUCUGACGUGCAAAUCGAUCGUCAAAUUUGGGUAUAGGGGCGAAAGACUAAUCGAACCAUCUAGUAGCUGGUUCCUGCCG
rnacentral:rRNA from 1 species